rnacentral:rRNA from 1 species
UUUAUUUAUUUUAUUAUAAUUGUUUUUUGUUAGUUUAUUUUUUAAUAAAAGAAAUUUUAUUUAUUAUUUUGUCUUAGUAUAUUUUAUAGAAUUGAUUAUUUUUGUUAUAGUUUAAUAGUAAUGUAAUUGGAUUAUGAAAUAAUUUUUUAAUUAUCAAAAAGUAGAUUUAAUUUGUUGUACCUUUUGUAUCAGGGUUUAUUAAAUUUUUAGUAUUUAUUUACUAAUCUCGAUUUAGGUUGAUUUACGAAUAAAUUAAAGUUAAUGUGUCAUAAUUAUUUUUAAUUUAUUUUUAGAAAUGAAAUGUUAAUCGUUUCCUAAUAUAUCUAGUUUCUUAAGAAAAAAAUUUAAUUUUUUAAAGUUAAUAGUUUUUAUUUACUUUUUUAUAUAAAAAUGUUAACUUAUUUAUUCUUUAGGGGAUAAGCUCUAGAGUUUUCCUAUAAUUUUAUUAAUUUUGAUUUAAUAGUAAGCUUUAAACCAGCUAUCUUUUUGAUUACGUUUUAGUUCAUUAUUUAUUAUUUUGAUUUUAUAAAUAUUUUAGGUUUUAUAUUAAGAUUAUUAAUUUAAUUUUUAAAUUAUUGUAAUAAUGAUAGAAUUAGUAUAUAUAUUUAUUGUUUAUAAUAUUUUAUUAUGUUAAUUUAUUAUAAGGAAUUAGGCAAAAUUGAUUUCCGCCUGUUUAUCAAAAACAU